AGCCUCCUGCAAUAAUUAACACUUGUCACCAUUUACCCAAUUUAUUGACCACCGACUAUAAUUGUCCUUCUCUUUAUAUGUGUAUGUCCAAAAUUAUUUGACUCUUUGAUUGUGUGAGAUAUGUACUUAAGGAUUAAGUUGCGCAUUGAAGAUGUUAUUUGACGAUUGUUCACACUGUAAAUAUAAUAAGUAAGUAUAAUUAGAUGUGUAAAAUGUUUUUGAACACGAUCAAUAAUUGUCAGUCAUCUAUCUUCAGUUGACGUGUGCCAAUAUCGUUCAAUGUGUAGUUAUUAAUAUGUUUUGGAUGUUAGAGAGGAAAGAUAUUUUUAGUGUUUUUAAAUUUCCAUCAUAACUACAGCAAGUUUUGUUGAUGAUCGAAACAGGUUGACGAUCAUAUAUAUGUUUUUUUUAUUUCAAAUAAUUCAAAUGAAUUAGUCAUGAUUAAGGACAACCCAAUUGUUUUGUAUGUGAUCAAACAAUAAAUGUCCGAAACGUCGACAAAAUUCAACUGGGCU